UACAGAGGGUGCGAGCGUUAAUCGGAAUUACUGGGCGUAAAGCGCGCGUAGGCGGCUUUGCAAGUCGGGUGUGAAAUCCCCAGGCUUAACCUGGGAACUGCAUUCGAGACUGCAUUGCUAGAGUAUGGGAGAGGGAAGUGGAAUUUCCGGUGUAGCGGUGAAAUGCGUAGAUAUCUGGAGGAACACCGGUGGCGAAGGCGGCAGCCUGGACCGAAAUUGACACUGAGGCGCGAAAGCCAGGGGAGCAAACAGG
rnacentral:rRNA from 1 species